rnacentral:rRNA from 1 species
UCGAACGAUGAAGUGGAGCUUGCUCCACGGAUUAGUGGCGAACGGGGUGAGGGAACACGUGAGAAACCUGCCUCGGAUUUUGGGAUAACAAAUGGAAACGUUUGCUAAUACCAAAUAACGUCGGAGAGUCACAUGACUUUCUGACGAAAGGAAUUCCGGAUUCGGAGAGGGGUCUCGCGGCCUAUCAGCUUGUUGGCGGGGUAAUGGCCACCAAGGCAACGACGGGUAGCUGGUCUGAGAGGAUGGUCAGCCACACUGGGACUGAGACACGGCCCAGACUCC